rnacentral:rRNA from 1 species
CCUACGGGGGGCAGCAGUGAGGAAUAUUGGUCAAUGGACGAGAGUCUGAACCAGCCAAGUAGCGUGAAGGAUGACUGCCCUAUGGGUUGUAAACUUCUUUUAUAUGGGAAUAAAACGUUCCACGUGUGGGAUUUUGUAUGUACCAUAUGAAUAAGGAUCGGCUAACUCCGUGCCAGCAGCCGCGGUAAUACGGAGGAUCCGAGCGUUAUCCGGAUUUAUUGGGUUUAAAGGGAGCGUAGGUGGAUUGUUAAGUCAGGUGUGAAAGUUUGCGGCUCAACCGUAAAAUUGCAGUUGAAACUGGCAGUCUUGAGUACAGUAGAGGUGGGCGGAAUUCGUGGUGUAGCGGUGAAAUGCUUAGAUAUCACGAAGAACUCCGAUUGCGAAGGCAGUUCACUGGACUGCAACUGACACUGAGGCUCGAAAGUGUGGGUAUCAAACAGGAUUAGAUACCCCUGUAGUC